rnacentral:rRNA from 1 species
UACAUGUACAGGAUAGGUGGGAGGCUUUGAAACCAGGACGCCAGGUUUGGCGGAGCCAUCCUUGGGAUACCACCCUUGUAGUACUGGGACUCUAACCAUAGGCCAUGAAUCUGGUCUUGGGACACUGGCAGGUGGGCAGUUUGACUGGGGCGGUCGCCUCCCAAAAGGUAACGGAGGCGCUCAAAGGUUCUCUCAGUACGGUCGGAAAUCGUACGUAGAGUGUAAAGGCAAAAG